GCUCAGCCCACUGCCUUGCUGCCAGGGCUUGAGGCAGCUCUCUUUUACUUAGCAGGUGGUGAAGGGCUCGGAGGAGAGUGGCAGGCAAGAGAGAGAGGUGAUCUCCUGGGCUGUCUGCAGCCUGUGGGUGUGUGCUGGCCUGCCACCACAAGCAGGGGAGACUGGGCUACCUGCAGCAUUCUGAUGGAGGAGCAGGAGGGGCUACAGAAGGUGAGAGUGCUGGCGGGUUCAUCCUGGAAGCAUACAGGACAAAGAGGAGGAGCCUGGAUGCUGUCUGAGCAUGGAUGCGAGAUGGUGGGGGCAUGUGAAUCAUGAAACACUGGCCCAAUUCCUGCCAGCUUCUGCGAGAUGCAUCUGACUUUGUUCAUGCGAGCGAUGCAGGUCAGCAGAGAGCUCAAGGCAAAAUUCCAAGAGUGCUGGGGAUCCUGAGGUCUCCUUUCGGAUGAAAUACUUGCGCUUGAUAUUUAAGCACUUGAAGUUGCAGUUGGUCACUUUACCAUCUUAUACCUUCUGAGACUUCCUUGUAGGUGUCAUAAAGUCUCGAGAUGCCACCGAGAAUAAAAUCCUCAUCCUACAAGCCACUGUUAUGUAACCGUGUGUUCUGCCAAGUCAUAAUUGGAGGGGGGCUCUCAGGUUCCUGAAUGUGUUUGGUGCCUGCUAGAGUGGCACAAUCCCUAGGCUUGGAGCACUGCUGGUGCCCACUGGAUUUUGUGGUACUGAGGAUGCUCAGCUGCUGCAGGGACAGUGCUGCUCCGGGGAUGUGAUGUCUUCCCAGGUCAAGCUCUGAAACACACCUCAAUGUAAAAAAACCUCUCCAGUGAACGACUGUAGAGCUACUUUCUGGUUGGUAAGAAAAAGCAACAGAGGAACUGUAUGAAGGUUAUAAUGCUGUAACAUGAAGGCUAUAAAAACAGAGAAAGACAGACUAGACCAGCAUUCCAGUAGUUUUCCCCUGAAAGAGGAAGGUGAGAGAGCCUUAUGAGGGCAGGAGGGCUCCGGCAGGCGAUCUGGCUUCUGUAGCCACUGACCACGUCUGUUUGCUGCGGGGAGGCACAGGCUGUCUGAGGAGCCCAGAUGAUGCUGACCAUCAACGGGGAAGAGGAACAACAUGAGGAGCCCUAUGCUGCCUUUAAUCCUGAAACCCAGGACUGCAGGUUUUAUCAAACUCCUUAAUUGCUUUACUUUGAGUGAGGCUUUUACAUUAUCUGCUGAAUUUAGUUGCCAUUAGGGUCAGUCGAAGUCUGACUAUUGAUUCAGUUGUAAAAGGACAAAGACCUAUGCUGAAUGUGCUUUGAAAUUCCCACCACUUAUGCGUAAGAACAUAUGUUAGAUAAGUGAUGUCACUUCUGACUGCUUGUAAACUUUCAAAAUAGCAUUAGACCUCUAAGAAAAAAAAAUGGGUAAUCCUAGUCCUUAGUUUUUGAACUGCCUCUCUGAAAAUGGCACUUAAGGGCAAGAUUUCCUGAAGGAAGGGGAAAAGGAAGAGGAGCUGUUUCUGAUUAAUAGUGCCCAAUAACUAUGGGCAAGGUCAACGUGUGUCAUACAGCCAGGACUGAAGAAAAACAUAGUGUGAAGUGUUUUGGCAUUUAACAAACACUUUAAAAAACUCUUCUGAAACAGAAACACACCCCCCCCCCGCCCCCCGCCAAAUUACUGAUCUGUUUGGCAAUGCAUUUCACAACUCACACUAGCAUACAAAUCCUUCUGGUGGACCAAGUAUCUUUAGUUCUGGUUUCGUGUGGCAUAAAGAGGAUAUAGCUGGAAUCUUUCUUGCACGUGAGUGGUUUCAAGGGUGGUGAAGACAAGCAAGAUUGCAUUUAGAGAAGAUGAUCUUUAAAGAAAAUGCUUCUUGUCAGGCCUUGUUAUCAGCCAAAUGGAUUGAGAUAAGGCAAGCAAUACUGUCUGCUUAGUCAAAUUGAGCAACAACAUCCCUUGAUUGUCAGAGCUGAAUCAGCAAAUAUGAAAAAGCUAAAUACAGCCAACCCUACACUUACAACCCACUUGUGGUUUUCACGCUGACAACCUAGUCACUAAGUAUAAAUGGUCCUCCCACUACUGGUUUGUCUGCAUCUCAGGUUAUAUUCAGGCAUAUGACUGCAUCUCUAGCCUUGCAAUCUUAACUCAUUUUUUAAAACUGAACAAGUACGUUGGCACUUUCCAACAGUGCCAAGUAUUUCUGCUAGAGUAUAUUCUGGAGGAUUCAUGUAAUAACAAACAUGUGAAGGAUUUCUCAUAUGAAAGACACUUGCCUAUAAUAAUUUUUUAGCUCCAAAGUGGGAUUAGUUUUGUUCUAUAAAUGCUUAAAAUCUAAACCUAUAUAUCUCCAAACAUGCAGUGGCCAGAACUACAGGCUCUUGAUACAUCUACAUUAUAGACACUAGGUUUAGCAUACAUAGUAAUAUGUGAUAUGAGCCCUGAUUAGAGACUCAACUCUCCUCUUUAUUAAUGUUGAGCAGUGGCUUUUCUCCUUCCUCUGGAGAGCUGUGGAUCCUAACUGAAAUGUGACACUGCUUUUCUGACAGAACCUUUUGUGGAUCCUUACUGAGCAGCUCAAAAAUCCAUAGGGUUUAGUGGACCAAAGUGAACCAAGAGAACAUAGAUAAGCUUCAAAAUUAGCAAUUUGGCUAUAUUUGUGUAUUAACAGCUGUUAAUAUGUAACUUCCACUGGUAAAUGGAUGUAUAGUCAUUAUUUUGUGCAUUAGGAUUCAGUCUCUUUUACACAUGAUGCAGCGCCAAAUGCAGAGAAUUUAGGAUUUCUGCUAUUUGGAAAGGCAACUGAACAGAAAUAUUUUCAGAGAUACCUUUGGAGUCCACCACAAAUGGCACUCAAAGCUUACAUGAAAUUAUACAAUCGGCUGCCAACACCUCUCUAAACAUCACUGUUAGAAAAAGGUAGACAUGUUUGAAGGUGUAGAGAGAAAACCACAUGUUGUGUAAGUUCUGGAGGCUCAACAGCCAUGAGAAAAGACUCCUGUGCAUUCCCUUAUGUGACAUCAGGUUAGCUUGCAAAAUGCAGCAAGAUUUCUGCUCUCACAGAAAGACCUUUUCUCUGGUGCUGCCACCAUAGAAUUGAGGAAAGGCAAACACAAUCCAGGGCUAUUGCAGCUGUCCACCGACCUGAAGAUGCCAUGGCAUGAAACAAGUUUUGGUUUUUACCAAACCCGACUCAGCUCAAAUAGUGUGCCUUGUCCAAUGUCCUUGUGCUGCUCUCUGGAAUUUUAUGUGCUGCUUACCAGUGAGUGCUGUACUGCAGCCCAUGCUUUCUCCAGGCCAGCCAUGAGAAAUCCCUCUUUAUCCAACCUGUAAUGUGACUGACUGGUAUUUAAUUGGCAGGAGUUGUACAGGAAAGCUGACUGAACAGCGGCUCAGGCUCUAUGUCUAGAGCCUAGACAUAACAUCGUGUUUCCAGCCUUGGGAAAAUGUGGGAAGAAGAAUUGGGAGAGAGAAAGGGAAAAAUCCAGUUAAGUCCUCUAGGGUAAAUCUCUAGCUUCCUUUUCUACUGGGUACCUAGGCAAUGGAACUGUAAGUAUUUGCAGAAGAACAAAUUAGUUGAGGGAAAUAACAUGCACAAAAGGUGUGUGUUUCAAGCAGCUGAUGAUGCAGUUGGCAGUGAGCUCUUCCAUGGGACCACCAAGAAGGAAGGGGACAGAGCUCAGGCCUAAAGAAGCAACUCUUAUGUUUUCCACCUACAUCAGGGAAUAAUCCAGUCACCAGUCUCUGCAGCCAUUCCAGCUUCUUCUGCCUUUUGAAUGCUUCUCCACAAAUAUUUGCAUGCCAAAAGUUGGCAGCUGCAAAUUGUCUGAAUGCCCUAGCAGCUGGGAGGUGACCCACCUGGGUUUCAGCUCCCCUUGCCCCAAGUGCAGGCCCUCUGAGCAGCACGAUCAUCUCUGGUGCAUUGGCACUACUGAUGUGAGUUCUGUUGCUAUUUAGCCUCUUCAAGAUAGGUUUUGCUCUGGUGAGAAUCCAGGAGGAGCAAUAAAUUAAUCAGUUUAUCCGUUAUAGGACUUAAAUACCUGAAGUAUAAAAUACUAUAAUUCCCUAGAACUGAAGCUGAGGUGUUGAAACAUCUCCAGCUGGGACAAAGUGAACAGAGUCUGAUAAGCUGCAGUUUGGCUCUGUUUGCAGCGGAGAUACCAGUCUGGAAAACUGCACAGUGUGCUGUUGUAACAGACCUGUAAUUAGUAUGUGAAUACCACUUAUAGCAUAUCUGAGGGUAAAAAGAACACACCACCUCAUCUCUCUUAAUCUUUUGCAGGCUCUUGAUCUUUACCUCUUUAUGAAGUUGUGGGUAGUCUUCUAAUUAAAACUCCCAAUUAUGCAUUUGACAGAGAUUCUGAAGGCCAGCAAGCUGUAAUGUUGGAUGCCAAUUGAUUAUGGAAUGUCUCUGCAAAUUUACAGCCCUGUGAUCCACCCUGUAUCAAUAUUAUAGUUGGAUGUCUUCUGCAGCUGUGCAUAAUCAGCAUCUUAUGAAAUGCCCAGCAUCCCUACAUGCUGUGUGUAACAGUUUCUAGAGAGCUGGAUCACAGUGUAAGUGCUGCAUGUAUGGGGGAGCGGAGGUGACUUUUGCUGGUACCACCUACAAAAGGGGUUAAGCCUCACAAGGGGACACCAGGGAAUCUCUCAGGCAAACAAAUCCUUUGCGAUGCUCUAGCUGGAACAGCUCUUCUGCAGCAGGCCUGUAUUUAGUAGGAGUGAGUAACCAGGGAUGUCAUGGGUGCAAUUAAAACACUGUUUUCAACACAAAUCAAAAACAUAUCAUGAUAAAGCUAUGAUGGAGAAAAUUACCCUAUCCCAGCCAAAUCCAGUAUAGCCUUCUGAAGGGAGAACUUGCAGUCGUUGUCUGUGUCUUGCUUUGUGCAUGCUGUAGUUACAGCCCAGCUGACCUGCAGCCUGGCUGGGGUUUGAACAGAUGCACAGAGCAGCUCGCUGGAGCAAGGUGGGAGUGGGACAGCAGCUGAGUUACCUUAGUCCUUUGCAGGCCAAAGAAUUAGCCUGGGCAGAGCACCCUUCAGGUCUGCAGUGGUCUUCGGUGUCUGCCCUGAACUGAAUUGCAUGAUUCAAGCAUUCACGACUUUUGCAAAGUGCAGCUUGGUGAUGGAGAAUCAAAGCUAGGAAUGUUUUGUAUUUCUGUUUGGGGUAGCUGUAGGUUCUUCUUUGCAUUUACCAUAUAGCUACCUGGAAUUAAAGGGCAUAGAGGCUUUCUCUGCUCUUCCUAACAAAGGGAAGCUUCAGGUUCUACCAUCCAAACCUCAGAUGAGGCAGGAGAGCCCUGGUAAUGUUGCAGCUGUAUUAAUUUGCCUCAUUUAGAACAUAUCACAAAAAAGUUUGGGGUUUAGAAAGAAAAGAUGUGUCUAGAAAUUAUCUCUUCAUUUGUGUUUAUUAUAAUAUUGUGUAAAAUGCAUGCUCAAUUGCUGCUGAAUUGUUUUAAUUAAUUACAUUAUACCUUGAACAACUGGUAAAAAUGUAUACAUGUUAGAGCUGAAACCUGGAACUUCAUGUCUGAAGGUGCUUGUGUUGUCUGGGAAUCCAGGCAAGGCUUUGAGGCACUAAAUGCUUUGCAGUAAAAUGUCCUUUGAAAGAAUUUGGACUCCAGCAAAGGAGCUAAUAUACGCCACCAUCACCCUCAAAAACACCCAAAACCCGCACUGAGUGUCAGUCAGCGCUGUCAGGAAUGUACUAGCAGGAGCUCUGCUUUUUUGUUGCUACUCAAACCCAGAUGUAUUUGUAGCUUUGUUUAUAGUCCUUUCAUAUAUUUGAAGGUGUUCCCCCAGCUAUUGACAAUAGAACCCUAUCUCUGCUUAAGUCCUAGCCAGAAUGUGUUUUCUCUUCCUACACCUAUUCCUUUGGGGAUUUGGCUUGUGCCGUCCUGCAGAGCCUCUGGAAGCCAAGGCUUGCAGGUAGUGUCACAGUCAGCUGGGCUCCCAGUUGGGCUCUCAGGCUUCAGGAGAGAACGGAAAUGGCAACUUAUGCCCUCUUCUGCUUCAUGCUCCAGUUGGCCUUGGCUCUCCCAUUUAGCAGAACAGGUACUUUUAAUGUGGUUUUGAAUUGAGGGUCACAAAUUACUCGUCAAGCGAUUUGCCUAUAUUAUGUUGCACUUUAGACUUUUGUUCUCAAAGGUGAACAUUAGUAUAUUUAUGAUCUUCUGAGGGAUAAAACCAGAAUUUAAUAGGACUUGCUAUAUAGAGCAAAUGAGGUUGCAGUGCACUUUCCCUCUGUUAUAUAUUAAGCUGGUGUUAUUAAGUGUUAACUUAACAACUUAACAAUGUAUUGUAUGGACAGCUAAAAGGGGCCAGGAAAAGUCUUUGUGUAAAACAUGUAAACAGCUAGGUUUUUGU